AAGCCUCUAUCUUAAACAGGGGACUCAAAGCCCUGUUUAGUGAGCAUACUGGGGCCAAUUGCAAUAACGAGGAUAAAAGAAAUCAAAUGAUAACUGAAGAAGCUCAAAUGUCAUUACCGGAAGGAUUCAGAGAUUCCUGAUGGACAAAGUUCGGGUGGAGAGAAGCUAUUUGGGAUUUUCGCUGCGCUUUUCUUCUGGUUUUCAUGGUUGAUUGGACAACUAUGGUAAUUGGAACUCUAUGUAUUUAAUGGUUAGCACUUAGCAGUAUAGUUUAACCAAAUGCUGGAGCAGUUAUUUGUACAUUAACAUAAUUGUUUUCACUAGAGUGGCAAUGUA